UACGUAGGAUGCAAGCGUUGUCCGGAUUUACUGGGCGUAAAGCGCGCGCAGGCGGCAUGGUAAGUAAGGUGUGAAAUCCAUCUGCUCAACGGGUGGGGUGCAUUUUAGACUGCCAAGCUUGAGGUCGGUAGAGGGGGGUGGAAUUGCUGGUGUAGCGGUGAAAUGCGUAGAGAUCAGCAGGAACACCCGUGGCGAAGGCGGCCCCCUGGGCCGUACCUGACGCUGAGGCGCGAAGGCUAGGGGAGCGAACGGG
rnacentral:rRNA from 1 species